GACGAACGCUGGCGGCGUGCUUAACACAUGCAAGUCGAGCGGAGCGGCGGACGGGUGAGUAACGCGUGAGUAACUGCCCCCCUCUCUGGGCUAACAGUUGGAAACGGCUGCUAAUACCGGAUAGUGGGGGAUGACUCGCGUCCUAUCAGCUUGCUGGUGGGGUAGUGGCCUACCAAGGGGACGACGGGUAGCCGACCUGGGAGGGCGACCGGCCACAUGGGGCUGAGAUACGGCGCAAACGCGUACGGGGGGCAGCAGGGGGGAAUAUGGCGCAAUGGGGGAAAGUGUGAUGCAGCAACGCCGCGUGCGGGAUGAAGGCCUUGGGGUGGUAAACGGCUUUCAGCCAUGACGCGGUAGUGGCAGAAGAAGCACCGGCUAACUACGUGCCAGCAGCCGCGGUAAUAC
rnacentral:rRNA from 1 species